ensembl:lncRNA
AUGCAGUUUUGUUUCUGUUGGAAUUAUCUUGUAUUCAGUGUGUUUCAGGUACUAGAUGUUUCUAAAUGGUACUUGUCGAUCAUUGGAUUUGUCAUCAAUAUCGACACGUUGAUGCUGAUGAUUCCUGAACUGCUCCAAGUUCAGCGGUAUGUGCUCACCUACAGGUUCAGCCAGGAUCACUUGGAGCUCCUAUUUAAUUCAAUCAGAGCGUCAGGCAGCUGGAAUAACAAUCCAUCGGCAUGCCAGUUCCAGGCCAUCUUCCGCCGUCUGAUGGUUCGGUGUAGUGUCUCCCCUGGUGAGACAGGCAAUGUGGCAGCACAAGAUCACACUUGUCUGCUGUGGAGAUGUCAUCUGCUGAAACUGCUGAAGAGCACCCAUCUCCAUUCGCCAACAUUUCAGCCCUUGUGACCACAGUUAUCUCCCCACUCGGUUUGGUGGUCUGGUGGAAAAUUUUCUGGUCUACAUAGCAGGGUUUGUAGUCCGGCAGAUUCUUCGAAAGCUGUCCUGUGAUGUGUGCCGUGCUAGACCAGCAUCAUUUGACAAGAGCUACCACCUUCUAGCCCUGAAAAACAACAGAGGCCUAGUGAUUCCAUCACAAGGCACAGUGAAGGUGUGAUUCUAUUAUCUUAUUUUUUUAAAUCUUUUAAUCUUUGUAUAUUAAG